CAAAUAAUUAUCUGCAGGUUUGUUCUCUGAAACAGUCAUUCAGACUGUAACAAAGGGAGUGUCUCUAAAUCUAACCCUAGCAACUCCAGAGUAUAUACAAAAUGCUUGAGCAACAAAUGGGUCAGAGCUCUUUUGGAGAACGUGAUGCAAUCUUUUUAACAUGAG